GCAGGCUCAGUUCGGGAAGGACGGCAUCCCGUGGGAGGGACCCCACGGGGAGCAGGGGCAGAGAGGGACCGUGAAGGAGCGGCAGAGGCAAAGCUUUUUGGACUGGCAGCAACCUCUAUUCCCCCUUCCUCUGUGCCACUCAUGGGGAGGAGGUAGAAGAGGGUGGAUGGGGGGAAGGUGUUUUUAGUUUGCUGUUAGUCACUGUUCUAGUCCCCUAGUGAUAGGCAAUAGGUUAUAUUAAUCUCUCUAUACUGAGUCUCUUUUGCCCAUAAACAUAUGGUAAUUAGUGAGUGAUCUACCUGUCCUUGAGCCCAUGAGCUUUUUCUUCAACAUAUAUUCUCCCCCUGUUCUUUUGAGGAGGGGGCGUGAGAGAGCAGCAUGGUGGAGUACAUCUGACCAUCAGAGUGAAACCAGCACAGCAUCUAAAAAUCAUCUUACUGCUAAUGAUCUGUGUAAAGAAAUUUUAACAGGGCAAGGCAAAAUAUAUCAGGUUAUGUUUCUUUGUUGAGCAGAGCGAAGGCCAAUUUGCUACUGGAGGAUUUGGGGCGUUAUGAAUGCACUCCUAAAACUUCAUUUGUUUAAUUUAAAGGUUGUGUGACCUUUGAUUGCAGACUUACUGCUUCUAUGAAUUGACAGUUUUACUGCUUCUGUCCUUGAAAAAAUCACUAUAAUUUCACAAAAUGCAUGUAUACAUAAAGGAAUGGAUUCUUCUUUUCACAGGCAGGAAUUCAAAGGGAUGUAAUUCCCUCAGCCUGCUCUUAGUUAAGUAAACUUUUACUUUACUGUACUACAAAUAAGAGGAGAACCAACUCCGUAUACCUGGUGAAUUACAGUACUAAAAUAACAUAAUGCAGCUUAGUUUGUGUGCUGAAGAAUGCCACUUCUUUACAACCUGCGCUCACUGUUUUUUCUUGCUCUCUCUUUACCAAAUGUACAAGAGACUGCUGCUGUUAGCAGCCCAUGAGUCCAUAGAUUUUUCUUGUCUGGUAUUUAUUGUAAAGCUUAUAAAACUUUAUAGGCACCAUUUACUACUUUUUUUUUCUUUUUUUUUUUUUUUUUUUUUUAAUAGGUAUUACAAUGAAUACCAAAAAGAUAUAGACUGGAAUUACAUACUUUGUGGGAAUCAAAGUGCUAUGCCUGUUUCUCACAAAUGUCCCUUGGGUAGAAUUUCUAUAAGCAACUGCUGGAAUAAGAGGAGGAUACAGCCUGCAGAUCAGACUCUGUGGGUACACUGUGCCAAGAGUAGAGGACAAUGCUAAAGAAAAUGGUUGGCUCCAUCCCUUCCAUAAGAAAACCGAGGAGGAACAGAACAUAUACUUAACAGGGACAAUUUCACCUGACUGAUUCAGAGCAAUUCAUUUCAAUUACUCUGAUCAACAGAUAAAUAGCACAUCUGGUAGUGUCUGCAAACUAAUCAUUAACAGGUGUGAAUUGGUGUCUGCAGGCAUGUAUUUCCUACUGUGUGGCCCUUUGUUCACUUCAGGACACUUCUUAAUUAGAGACAAGUCUGAACCACAAGCCUUUAGAUGUGGAUAUAUUCUUUGAACACCCUAAAAAUCAACACUUUGUUCAUGAGGUUGUUAUUUAGAGUGAAGAUCUCUGGAAAAAAAAAAUCAGUUUCAUGAUUCAGAGUAAAGCAUUCAUUGCCCAGUUCUGGCUUACUGGCAUUAGUUUUGGAUUUUAGCUUCCAUUUACAGAAAUAAUGGCACAUAUGAUCAUAUGCCUGUGGUACUUGUGAUAGAAAUGACAUCCAUUACUAUUAUUAAGGUCACAUAAGAGUUUGCAUUGCAAAUGUAGGACCUGCUGCCACUGUUGCUGAUGAUGACAGUUGUCAUUUAGGUAUGUAAGGGGAAGAGACAUUAGAGACUUCAGGGACAUCUAUCAGAACUGGGUGGAGGAAAGCAAAUAAUAUAUGACCUGUCAAAGAUUUGUUAUCACUGCAUUAGCAGGCUUAAAUCUAGAUUUUUCUUUCCUUUUAGACCCAACCCUUAUCAGACCUACUGCAAUUAAAUUCCUUAUCUUGGUUUUAGAACAAUGUCUCAAGAUGGUUUAGUCAUACACCUUCUAUUGGAACCUGUAAGGCUAAAUUUGCUAACUUACUUUGAAAAUGGCUGUUUGUAUAUUAAUUCUUUAGAAUUACACAAUUUAAAUAAACCAUAAGUCACUAGAAAAUGAGUUUCUGAG
ensembl:lncRNA